UACGGAGGAUCCAAGCGUUAUCCGGAUUUAUUGGGUUUAAGGGUGCGUAGGCGGCUUAUUAAGUCAGGGGUGAAAGACGGUGGCUCAACCAUCGCAGUGCCCUUGAUACUGAUGAGCUUGAAUACACUUGAGGUAGGCGGAAUGUGACAAGUAGCGGUGAAAUGCAUAGAUAUGUCACAGAACACCAAUUGCGAAGGCAGCUUACUAAGGUGCAAUUGACGCUGAGGCACGAAAGCGUGGGGAUCAAACAGG
rnacentral:rRNA from 1 species